GGGCAAUUAACUCAGUGGUAGAGUGCUACCUUGACGUGGUAGAAGUCGUGGGUUCAAGUCCCUCAUUGCCCA
rnacentral:tRNA from 1 species